rnacentral:rRNA from 1 species
UACGUAGGGGGCUAGCGUUGUCCGGAAUCAUUGGGCGUAAAGCGCGUGUAGGCGGUCCGGUAAGUCCGCUGUGAAAGUCGAGGGCUCAACCCUCGAAUGCCGAUGGAUACUGCCGGGCUAGAGUUCGGAAGAGGCGAGUGGAAUUCCUGGUGUAGCGGUGGAAUGCGCAGAUAUCAGGAGGAACACCUAUAGCGAAGGCAGCUCGCUGGGACGACACUGACGCUGAGACGCGAAAGCGUGGGGAGCGAACAGG